AUUGAACGCUGGCGGCAGGCUUAACACAUGCAAGUCGAGCGGGGUGAUGGUGCUUGCACUAUCACUUAGCGGCGGACGGGUGAGUAAUGCUUAGGAAUCUGCCUAUUAGUGGGGGACAACAUCUCGAAAGGGAUGCUAAUACCGCAUACGUCCUACGGGAGAAAGCAGGGGAUCACUUGUGACCUUGCGCUAAUAGAUGAGCCUAAGUCGGAUUAGCUAGUUGGUGGGGUAAAGGCCUACCAAGGCGACGAUCUGUAGCGGGUCUGAGAGGAUGAUCCGCCACACUGGGACUGAGACACGGCCCAGACUCCUACGGGAGGCAGCAGUGGGGAAUAUUGGACAAUGGGGGGAACCCUGAUCCAGCCAUGCCGCGUGUGUGAAGAAGGCCUUAUGGUUGUAAAGCACUUUAAGCGAGGAGGAGGCCCUUUUGGUUAAUACCCAAGAUGAGUGGACGUUGCUCGCAGAAUAAGCACCGGCUAACUCUGUGCCAGCAGCCGCAGUAA
rnacentral:rRNA from 1 species